rnacentral:rRNA from 1 species
GACGAACGCUGGCGGCGUGCUUAACACAUGCAAGUCGAACGGAAAGGCGCUGCUUUUGUGGGUUGCUCGAUAGGCGAACGGGUGAGUAACACGUGAGUAACCUGUCCCUGACAGUGGGAGAACAUCAGGAGACAGGGGCUAAUACCGGAUAUGAGAUUCUGCUGCGUGGUGGGCAUUGGAAAGAUACGGCGGUGGUGGCUGGAAUCGAGGCUUCUCAGCUUGUUGGUGAGGUAGUGGCGUACCAAGGCUUUGACGGGUAGCCGGCCUGAGAGGGUGACCAGCCACCAUGGGACUGAGAGAGGGCGCAGACUCCUACCGGCGGCAGUAGGGGAGAAUAUUGCACAAUGGGCGGACGCCUGAUGUAGCAGCCCUGCGUGCGGGAAGACGGCCUUCUGGUUGUAAACCGCUUUCGACUGAGCCGAAGCGUGCGUGACGGUAAUGGGUAAGGAAGCACCGGCUAACUACGUG